rnacentral:rRNA from 1 species
GUCUACGGCCAUACCACCUGAACAAGCCUGAUUCCCUCUGAUCUCGGAAGCUAAGCAGGGUCGGGCCUGGUUAGUACUUGGAUAGAAGACCACCUAGGAAAAGCAGGUGCUAUAGGCG